AAAAUUUUAGUUUAAUUUAAAAUUUUUUAAUUACAAUAAAAAGAUUAUUAUAUAUAUUUAAAAUUUUA
rnacentral:tRNA from 1 species